rnacentral:tRNA from 1 species
GGAAGUGCCAGGGCGCCUGGUGGGCUCCACGGACUUCAAAUCCGAUGUUCCCCGAGAGGGGAAGGUGGGUUCGAUUCCCAUGCACUUCCG